rnacentral:ncRNA from 1 species
AAAUUUAAAUAUAAAUUUGAUUUUGGUUUAUUUGGAUUUCUUUAUUUUGAUUUAUAAUAUGUAAGUUUUUGCGUGUUUUGGAUUUGUUUAAAUAACUGUUUUUAAUAUAAAAUUUAUUCGCAGUUUUUAUUAUUAUACUUUUUAAUAAUUUAAGAUAUAGUCAAAUAUAUAAUUACUAGCAAAAAUUGUGCCAGCAGCUGCGGUUACACAAUUAGUAAGAGUUAUUUAUUUUAGAUUGUUAUUUAUUUUGAAUUUUAUUGUUGACUAUUAAAUUGAUUUUUUAAGGUGAAAUUUAAAUUUUAAUUUAAAUUGUUAGGUUAAUUAGAUUAUAAGAUACUUUAUUAAUAGACUAGGAUUAGAUACCCUAUUAUUUUGAGUGUAAAAAUAGUUUCUUCUUAAUAUUAUAAGUUAAGUUCUUUAAAUUGAAAAGAUUUGACGGUAAUUUUAAUCAUUUUAGAGGAACCUGUUCUGUAAUUGAUAAUCCACGAUAAAUUUUACCUUUAUUUAUUUAGUUUGUAUAUCUCUGUCUGAUUGAAUGUUUUAUUAGAAUAUAUUUUCAUUAAAUUUUAAUUGAAUAUUAUGUCAGGUCAAGGUGCAGUUAUAUAAAGGUUUGAAAUGGGUUACAUUUAAUUUUUUAUUAUUAUUGGAUUAUAAGUAUUUAUUUACUUUAUGAAAUUGGAUUUAGAUGUAAUGAACACAAUAUUGUGUUUAUGAUAUAUGCUCUUGAUUAAGUACACAUCGCCCGUCACUCCCAUUAUAAGAUGGGAUAAGUCGUAACAAAGUAGUCCUAUCGGAAGUUGGGGCUAGAUUUAUA